rnacentral:rRNA from 1 species
AUGUGCUCUCUUUCCAACCUGAGCCUGGACGAUGAUGUAUUUUACAUGAAGUCCACCCCGAAUCCUGCAAGCCCAGUGGCGUGGCUAGCUGCCGUAAAUGUCAGAGAGAAUCUACUACAACUUAUCCCUUUUACUGCUGAAAUUUCUCACUGCGAGCCAACCUAUCCUCCUUGUGUUUUCUCCAAGUACCUCAAUAAUACUCCAGGACAACACAUGGCUGUGGAGGAUCCGGGGAGGUUGCUUAAUCCCACAAAAGGGCACCCACCAUCAGAGCUAUCGCCUCUAAGUGUUGAGAAAUGGCUUAAAGAACAUGGUCAUUGA